rnacentral:rRNA from 1 species
AAUCCCUUAUCGAGGAUCAAUUGGAGGGCAAGUCUGGUGCCAGCAGCCGCGGUAAUUCUAGCUCCAAUAGCGUAUAUUAAAGUUGUUGCAGUUAAAAAGCUCGUAGUUGGAUUUAAGUUUGUUUGUGCGUUGUGAUCGUGAGAUGACGAUGCAUUGAGCAGACAUUAUUUGGGAUUUGGGGUUUCUUGGCAUUCAGUUGUUGAGAUUCAACUGCCCAUCGUUUACUGUGAAAAAAUUAGAGUGUUUAAAGCAGGGGUUUUUCCUUUGGAUAUAUUAGCAUGGAAUAAUAAUAUAUGACUCGUAUGGUCUAUUUUGUUGGUUUGCACAUAUGAGUAAUGAUUAAUAGGGACAGUUGGGGGUAUUCAUAUUUGAGCGUCAGAGGUGAAAUUCUUGGAUCGCUGAAAGAUGAGCUAAGGCGAAAGCAUUUACCAAGGAUGUUUUCAUUAAUCAAGAACGAAAGUUAGGGGAUCGAAGAUGAUUAGAUACCAUCGUAGUCUUAACCGUAAACUAUGCCGACUCGGGAUGGUUAUGACGCUUUUUAGUCAUAGCUGCACCGUAUGAGAAAUCGAAGUCUUUGGGUUCCGGGGGAAGUAUGAUCGCAAGAUUGAAACUUAAAGGAAUUGACGGAAGGGCACUCCAAAUGUGGAACUUGCGGCUUAAUUUGACCAACACGGGGAAACUUACCAGGUCCAGACAUAAUAAGGAUUGACAGAUUGAGAGCUCUUUCUUGAUUUUAUGGGUGGUGGUGCAUGGCCGUUCUUAGUUGGUGGAGUGAUUUGUCUGGUUUAUUCCGUUAACGAACGAGACGUGUGUAUGUAGUUUAUUUGCUUGUCUUUUUGACGAGGCCAAGUACCUACAUAGACUAUUAGUGACUAACUAAUUGAAGUGACACGCAAUAACAGGUCUGUGAUGCCCCUAGAUGUUCUGGGCCGCACGCGCGUUACAAUGAAUCGUUCAACAGGUUUUUUUCCUGAGUCGAAAGGCUUGGGUAAUCCUUUAAAUACGGUUCGUGCUAGGGAUAGAUUUUUGCAAUUAUUAAUCUUGAACGAGGAAUAUUUAGUAAACGCAGGUCAUCAGCCUGCAUUGAUUACGUCCCUGCCCUUUGUACACACCGCCCGUCGCACCAACCGAUUGGAUGUUUUGUUGAAAUAUGUGGAUGUUUGUUGAGUGGAUUAAUUUUCGCUCGAUAGAUAGAAACGUAUUAAAACUGAAUAUCUAGAGGAUGGUGAAGUCGUAACAAGGUU